rnacentral:rRNA from 1 species
UACGUAGGUGGCAAGCGUUGUUCGGAAUCACUGGGCGUAAAGCGCACGUAGGCGGCUUUUUAAGUCAGGGGUGAAAUCCUGGAGCUCAACUCCAGAACUGCCUUUGAUACUGAGAAGCUUGAGUCCGGGAGAGGUGAGUGGAACUGCGAGUGUAGAGGUGAAAUUCGUAGAUAUUCGCAAGAACACCAGUGGCGAAGGCGGCUCACUGGCCCGGUACUGACGCUGAGGUGCGAAAGCGUGGGGAGCAAACAGG